AAGGGCACCACAAGAACGCGUGGAGCAUGUGGCUUAAUUUGACUCAACGCGGGGAAACUUACCGGGUCCGGACACACUGAGGAUUGACAGGUGCUCGGUAAAAGGGAAGAGGAAGCGCUUUGGCAUUUCCUUUUCCCCUUUGCCUUAAAUAUGAUAGUCCUUUCAUGAUUGUGUGAUAGGUGGUGCAUGGCCGUUCUUAGUUCGUGGAGUGAUCUGUCUGCUUAAUUGCGUUUCAGAAUAAAGGUUCUUACCGGCCAUGUUAAUUUUGUAACGAGGCCUCCUUUUAUGCGUGCCUUAGGGUUUCGUUAAAAGGUUGCUGCUCUCUUACAUUUAACAGCCUUAUGAAACCUCGAAGGAAACGAACGUGAUCGCAACCUCUUGUUGCCUCUCUUUUACCAUCUUUAACCAUGGUAGACUGCUACCUCGUAGUUCUUUCCUAUUUAAAAGGAAGCUAUGGGGGAUAGCAGAACGGAAUGCUUUAACUAGAAGGAACGCCGACUCCUUUAAAACGGAAGAAGGUGCCGGCAAUAACAGUUUUGUGAUGCCCUUAGAUGUUCCGGGCUGCACACGUGCUACAAUGAUCGUUGCAGUGAGCAUCUUUAAACGCUUGUAAGGGAAAUUUAUUUCCCCUUUACGACACACCUACUUCGAAAGUAAGUAGGUAAUCAAUUCGAAGUAACGAUUUCUCUCGCACACAAAACCUCGUAGCGCCUUAGCUUUUCUUAGUGGUUUCGAUUGCUAAGCAAUAGCCUAGGGAUUGCUACGAAGUGCUCUUAUUUUUUUCAUGGUGGGGACAGACCAUUGCAAUUGUUGGUCUCGGUCUUAACUAGGAAUGCCUUGUACGGGUCAUGGUUCAACAGACCACCCGGAAUAUGUCCCUGCCCUUUGUACACACCGCCCGUCGCUCUUACCGAUGGACUUCUCUGUGAGUAUAAGGGACUGGUAUACUAAUACUAUGGAAACUUACACGAACAGUGUGGUCUAAAGGAAAGAGAAGUCGUAACAAGGCAUCGGUAGGUGAACCUGCAGAAGGAUCAAGCUUAGAU
rnacentral:rRNA from 1 species